UGACUGCACAAGUUGUUGGACAGAAGGCAUUGGAACAACAUAAUGGCUGCUCCAAAGGUUUAUUUAGCUUUGCUCCUCGUCUGCGUUUCAGUUAGCGUGGUGCAGUUGUGGAGUGGACACGUUUGCAGCAUUGUAAAAGUCCAUUAUGAGACCCGAACAACAUGCCAAUCAAAAUUCUUGUGGUGGUGUUCGUCCUCCACAACAAUUACGUACCCGGUGUACUACACGGAUAACAUUUGCUGUGCCGGAUGGCGAGACAAUGGAGGCGACCAGAACUGUAACAUUCCAAUCUGCUCCCCACUUUGUCAGCAAGGCUUUAAGUGCACUGCUCCUAACACCUGUCAGUGACAGUCUUAAAAGGCAAUAACGAACCUGAUCAACGAGCUGGGAACCGAACGCGUCUCUGCUUCUCAUGCUGCUAUAUAAAACUUGCUUGUACCAUGCCUCACUUGGCCACAUUGCCACAAAAGGCAGAAUAGUGUGGAAUCAAUGAAUCAAUGAAUCGAUCAAUCAAUCAAUCAAUCAAUCAAUCAAUCAAUC